UCGCCUGUUUAUCAAAAACAUCGCUGACUACAUAUAAUCAGUCAUAUCUGCCCAGUGAAAAUUUAACGGCCGCAGUAUCUUAACUGUGCUAAGGUAGCAUAAUCAUUAGUUUCUUAAUUAGAAACUCGUAUAAACGAUUCGACGAGAUUCUUACUUUCUUAAAAAUUUUUUAACUUGCUUUUAAGGUAAAAAAGCCUUUAAUCUUCAAAUGGACGACAAGACCCUAUAAAACUUUAUUCUCAAAAGAUUUAUACCUUCAGAAAUUUUACCUUUCUUUCAAGAAUUUUGCUGGGGCGGCAUUAUCUAACAAAAACAGAUUAUAUUUUAACAAAUUAUUUGACUUUUACUAACACUCUAUGUAAUUAAAACCAAGUUACUUUAGGGAUAACAGCACAAUAUGUUCUUAGAGCCCUUAUCGACGAAUAUGCUUGUGACCUCGAUGUUGAAUUGAAAUUUCUCAGUAAAGCAGACCUUACUAAAGAAAGUCUGUUCGACUUGUAAUCUUUYACAUGAUYUGAGUUCAAACCGGA
rnacentral:rRNA from 1 species